GCAUCAUUUUUGCAUUGAAUGUUGUGUUUAUUGUGUGCAUGUUUUUUUUAUUUUAGAUUGUGUGGACUGUAUUCCUUGUUGUUGCGAAGAGUGCGAGAACUAUCACAACCUUGGACAAGGCAAGUUCACUUUGAUCAUAUCCCAUUAUUAUUGUUGUUUUAAAAUACUUAUGCAUUAGUUUUGUUGGUAGAGAUGUAUUGAUAGGACUAUUACUCGUACCUCUAUGCUAGCUAUAAAUCCCGGGUAGUACAGUUUACCCUCACCAUUACCUUGCCACCAAAUUGCCAUCGAUUUUAGUUGAAUGCUAAGCUAUGGUAGUAUGGUGGGGGAAAUAACUACAUUAUGAUAUUGUUAUGCCGUUGGCUAUAUGAAAUGUUUUUGUUAGAUGUAAGGCAAAACAACUAAUUCAAUGAACCAUCCUGGGUGGGCUGCUUUGAGGAUUUUGAGGAUUAGCGGCGUCA
rnacentral:lncRNA from 1 species